UCCUUGACCAACUCCGACAGCCUACAGCAGCAGUGCACGCAUGGGUCUUCGCCAUCACAGUCGCUUGCCAUAGCCAUUUCUUUUGAGCUAAGAACUCAACUAUGUCAAAUUUCUCUGUUGGCUCCAACAAGUCUGCAAAUCUUUUAAUAAAGGACCAAACAGUUAGUGGGAUCUUGUGUACAAUAAGACUUACACAGGUAGAAGAAAGAGAGUGGACCAUAGAUUCGACCCAAGCAUCCACAUCAGGGAUGUCUUUCAGUGUGCAGUAUUCAAAGAAGACAUCCAGGGAAAGAUGAUUGAUAGACGGGAUAUAGAUUCUUCAUUUGAUAACUUUCCAUAUUACUUAAGGUGGCAAAGCUAUUGAUGAAAAAGGGCAUACCAAACACCACAUAGAAAGUAAUUUUUUUUUUUUUUUGUAUGAAGUAGACUAGACAUUUUUGCUUUGGGGCUGCUUUUGUCUAAACUAAACAUGUUUAUCUGUACCAUCUCAUUUUUCAAAAUAGCCAAUAGAUACAUUACUAUGGCUAUUUGUUAUAAUUAGUUUCUUUACCUUUAGUCUUUACAAAGUUGUAUGAAACAUUUCAUUUUGGUAGUGAUGAUGAAGUCUUUUAAUAUAUUGAUUGAGUUUACUUU